rnacentral:sRNA from 1 species
GAUCCAUUUUUUAGAUUCAUAAACGUGAUUUUGUUGGGUGUUGAGUUGGGUGCAUUGUGAGACCCAAAUGGAUUUUGACAUUUUGGGGUAUUUUGGUGAAAUUGAAAUGAUAUUUUAAGCCGUAAGGUGUUUGUAAAAUUGCUCUAGUGAAAAAUCACAUUUAACGUAUAACAUCUGACAUAUUUCUUAUUUUAUCUUCUUGAUGCUUUACGAAUCACCAUUUCAAUGAUGUAUGUAUGCAAGUGCAACACUAUCUCAUUUCUCUCUGAACCGUUGGUUGCAGGAUUUGACUAUUGUUUUAUCAACACUUCUACCUGUGAUAUCUAUGAAUAAUGAUGGCAAAGAUCAAUCAGAUUUCUCUGUGGGACUAAAGUAUGGCAGAAACAUUGCUGGAAGGAGUUGUUAAGAGACAAGUAUAAGAGCAUAAAGUUGAGGAGUUUAAUGCCAUGGGAAAGGGA